GUGGAUGUUUCGAUUAAUUUUCGGAUGCAUGCUGUAAAUGGGCCUUGUGGUGAAGUUUUGAAAGACGUUUAUUAUUCAUAAAAAUAAAUAGUUUGCUUUAAUUCCCUCUGUUAUAUGCAUUGUUUGUGUGUUAAUAUUACCUUGUAGUUUAGUUAUUUUAAUCCCAUUUGUCAUCAUUGAGAUAAUUGUGUGUGGCUUCAUCUCUUGUAGAGACAUAUAAGGAUUCAGAGAGUUGACACAUUACCUGAGCUGCAGCAGUGCAACAAGUGUUACAGCAAUUACCAGCAAUUUUCUGCUUGACCAGCAUGUUUAAGCCAGCCAAACUGGUCAAAUUAAUAAGUCAUCUUCAAAUCCACUUCAACAUGCAGUUGUCUGUGGAGUACAUCUUGUCUUGGGAGCACCCUUUGAUUUUACAUCUUGUGACAUUCCAAUCAUACGGAGAUGGUGGACUCCAGAUGGUUUUCUCUGAAAGUGCAGAAACCCUACAAGAGGCCCUUCCAAUUGGAUAACAGGCUACGCUUGUGAGGAGAUCCCAGUAAUCUCACAGAAGUUGUGAAAUGGCUCCAUCAAACAGACAUCUGCUCAGGG